AGCCUUCUGUAUCCGUGCUGAGAUUUUGUCACACAUCAGACCACAAGGGCUGAUGAAACUUCUCAGAUAAGUGAAGCG
rfam:Schistosoma margrebowiei strain Zambia genome assembly, scaffold: SMRZ_contig0005231